CGUGAGUUAAACAGAGUUUAACAGGGUCAGAGUCUUUAAUGUGCUAGUCUGCUGAACCAGUUUCCAAGGGAGAAGGUGGGUAUGCAGAAUACCCUGGUUGUAUUUGACCACAUCUAGAUUUUUUUUUUUCAGCAUCUUCAAGGAGAAUUGCAUUCUAUGUAAAACAUGUUGAACAUUAUUGAUUUAAACUUAAGAAAGUGGUGAGAAUUUCCUAAGCUCUUCAGAGGGACAACUUCAGAGAGUAAACAUGUGAGUGCCCCUGGCUGCAGGCAGGGACGAAAGUGAGAACAAAAACCCGAAGCCAAGAAAAGAGGCUGCAGCCAUGACUGAGGUUCAAAACAAAGGUGUGCAUGUGUAUAAUCACUGAUGAAAGCAGUCUAGGAAGAAAUCCUGCAAGAGAUGCCAUCAAUCCAAAGAGCGAAACCAGAUGGGCAGAUUUUAAUUUUUUCUAAUUACUAAGGAAAAUGGGAAAGUCUUUUGUAACUCUUGUCAACCUAAAGAGAGAAGUCAGCCAUGAACAUUCUUCUGUGUUUCUCAGUGUUCCCAGG
rnacentral:lncRNA from 1 species